AGAGUUUGAUCCUGGCUCAGGAUGAACGCUGGCGGCGUGCCUAAUACAUGCAAGUCGAGCGAACGGACGAGAAGCUUGCUUCUCUGAUGUUAGCGGCGGACGGGUGAGUAACACGUGGAUAACCUACCUAUAAGACUGGGAUAACUUCGGGAAACCGGAGCUAAUACCGGAUAAUAUUUUGAACCGCAUGGUUCAAAAGUGAAAGACGGUCUUGCUGUCACUUAUAGAUGGAUCCGCGCUGCAUUAGCUAGUUGGUAAGGUAACGGCUUACCAAGGCAACGAUGCAUAGCCGACCUGAGAGGGUGAUCGGCCACACUGGAACUGAGACACGGUCCAGACUCCUACGGGAGGCAGCAGUAGGGAAUCUUCCGCAAUGGGCGAAAGCCUGACGGAGCAACGCCGCGUGAGUGAUGAAGGUCUUCGGAUCGUAAAACUCUGUUAUUAGGGAAGAACAUAUGUGUAAGUAACUGUGCACAUCUUGACGGUACCUAAUCAGAAAGCCACGGCUAACUACGUGCCAGCAGCCGCGGUAAUACGUAGGUGGCAAGCGUUAUCCGGAAUUAUUGGGCGUAAAGCGCGCGUAGGCGGUUUUUUAAGUCUGAUGUGAAAGCCCACGGCUCAACCGUGGAGGGUCAUUGGAAACUGGAAAACUUGAGUGCAGAAGAGGAAAGUGGAAUUCCAUGUGUAGCGGUGAAAUGCGCAGAGAUAUGGAGGAACACCAGUGGCGAAGGCGACUUUCUGGUCUGUAACUGACGCUGAUGUGCGAAAGCGUGGGGAUCAAACAGGAUUAGAUACCCUGGUAGUCCACGCCGUAAACGAUGAGUGCUAAGUGUUAGGGGGUUUCCGCCCCUUAGUGCUGCAGCUAACGCAUUAAGCACUCCGCCUGGGGAGUACGACCGCAAGGUUGAAACUCAAAGGAAUUGACGGGGACCCGCACAAGCGGUGGAGCAUGUGGUUUAAUUCGAAGCAACGCGAAGAACCUUACC
rnacentral:rRNA from 2 species